rnacentral:rRNA from 1 species
AGUGAACGCUGGCGGCGUGCCUAAUACAUGCAAGUCGAACGGAGUGGCGCACGGGUGAGUAAUAUAUAGCUAAUCCGCCCCUAGCUGGAGGACAACCGAUAGAAAUGACUGCUAAUACCCCAUAGCAAGGGAUGAGGCUAUAUCGUAUCAGCUAGUCGGUGGGGUAACGGCCUACAGAGGCUAUGACGCGUAACUGGUCUAAGAGGAUGAUCAGUCACAUUGGAACUGAGACACAGUCCAGACUCCUACGGGAGGCAGCAGUAGGGUAUAGUGCGCAAUGGGGGAAACCCUGACGCAGCAACGCCUCGUGGAGGAUGACACUUUUCGUGGCGUAAACUCCGUUUGUUAGGUAAGCGGUACCUAACGAAUAAGCACCGGCUAACUCCGUGCCAGCAGCCGCGGUAAUAC